UGACGCUUCCGUUGACAACAUUGUAAAAGGGCUGGAGAACACAAGCUCUGAGUUUAGAUUUGCUGAGUGUACAGACCCAGCGAGAGUAGAGAGAGAUGGCUCCUGUUUUGGUGUUGCUCAUGGCAGUGCUGGUUUCCGGAGACGUAAACUGUACCGACGGAGAAACCUGCUCAGAUGGUGAAACCUGCUGUGAACAAGAAAGUGGACACAGCUGUUGUGCGUAUCCCAAUGCUGUCUGUUGUCCAGGAGAGACCCAUUGCUGUCCAGAAGGGUUCAGCUGUAAUGCACAGAAUCACUCGUGCGACAGGGUGGACAAAGUUCCUGGAACUGAGGUCCUGGAAAGGAAGGCCAAAUUUUAUUGUCCUGGUCAAUACUGUAAGGAUGGUAGCUACUGCUGUGCUGGUACAACGUGCUGCCUGAUUGGGCCAUAUUGGAGCUGCUGCUACCAUUCAUCUGCUGCCAAGAAGGCACUGCAGCCUCGCCUUGCCACUGGAGCACAUGCGCGGCCUCGCCCACCCCCCUACUUAUGUCCCAAUGGCAGACUCUGUAAUUUUGGUUCACAUUGCUGCUUUACAGAUCAGGGUUGGUCUUGCUGUUCAACGU